GGGAUAUAGCUCAGUUGGUAGAGUGCUUGCCUAGCAUGCACAAGGUCCUGGGCUCAAUCCCCAGCACUAUACCA
rnacentral:tRNA from 1 species